CCCUUAGAUGUUCUGGGCCGCACGCGCGCUACACUGACGAUGGCAACGAGUUUUUCCUUCGCCGAAAGGUGUGGGUAAUCUUUUGAAACAUCGUCGUGCUGGGGAUAGAUCAUUGCAAUUUUUGAUCUUGAACGAGGAAUUCCUAGUAAGCGCGAGUCCUCAGCUCGCGUUGAUUACGUCCCUGCCCUUUGUACACACCGCCCGUCGCUACUACCGAUUGAAUGGUUUAGUGAGGACUCCUGAUUGGCGCCGCCGCCCCGGCAACGGAGCAGCGGACUGCCGAAAAGUUGUUCAAACUUGAUCAUUUAGAGGAAGUAAAAGUCGUAACA
rnacentral:rRNA from 1 species